GGUUUCUCUGUGUGGCCCUGGCUGUCCUAGAACUCACCAGGCUGGCCUCAAACUCAGAAAUCCGCCUGCCUCUGCCUCUCGAGUGCUGGACUUAAAGGCGUGCACCACCACUGCCC
rnacentral:miRNA from 1 species